rnacentral:rRNA from 1 species
AUUGAACGCUGGCGGCAGGCCUAACACAUGCAAGUCGAGCGGAUGAAGGGAGCUUGCUCCUGGAUUCAGCGGCGGACGGGUGAGUAAUGCCUAGGAAUCUGCCUGGUAGUGGGGGAUAACGUCCGGAAACGGGCGCUAAUACCGCAUACGUCCUGAGGGAGAAAGUGGGGGAUCUUCGGACCUCACGCUAUCAGAUGAGCCUAGGUCGGAUUAGCUAGUUGGUGGGGUAAAGGCCUACCAAGGCGACGAUCCGUAACUGGUCUGAGAGGAUGAUCAGUCACACUGGAACUGAGACACGGUCCAGACUCCUACGGGAGGGAGCAGUGGGGAAUAUUAGACAAUGGGCGAAAGCCUGAUCCAGCCAUGCCGCGUGUGUGAAGAAGGUCUUCGGAUUGUAAAGCACUUUAAGUUGGGAGGAAGGGCAGUAAGUUAAUACCUUGCUGUUUUGACGUUACCAACAGAAUAAGCACCGGCUAACUUCGUG